rnacentral:lncRNA from 1 species
AAUUUAGGGUGAAACUCCACAAGGGUAUCCCACAAAUAAAGUGGAAUACCUAGCCAAUAACCUUUUCCUGGGAUAUGUGAACCUUUACGAAACUAAAAAAAAGAAACAUGUCAGAACACCAAAUCAGGGUGCAAUCGAAGAUUACACCGGAGAAAUAUCACAACAAUAAAUAGGAUAGGAUAAAUAAUGCAUGGCUAUGAUAAAAACAUAAAAAAAAAACAGACUAGAAGAAUCAGGUACUGUCUCGUUCGCCUCUGCCUCGCCUAGCGAAGGCCACGGAUUUUGAAUUUGAAAACAGCCCCAUGUUAGGAACUUUGAAUUUUAUGGCAUUUUAUCACAGGAAUAAAUGGUCAAACAUUCAGGGUAUUCAGGCAUAUUUAAAUUCCCAUACGAAAGCAAAUUAUAUAUCAACAUUUAAUCAUGAUGCAUUAUAUAUGUAGAUAUGGCCAAUUGAAAGUAUAAACAAUAGAGAUACGCAAACCUGUUUGUCAAUUCAAGGUUGAAGGGAUUGACCACUUGUAGUAUCGGAAUAAGUUAGGCAGCGGGAAUUGGACGGCGACGGCUUCGGUGCAGAUGGGCUGCCUUCAGGGUUUCUUUACUCUGAAUUCUCCGGGUAGGCAGGUUCCUAUGCCAAAGUUUCUAUCCGUCCUUCUCUGUUCUCUCUCUUUCUUUUUCCUCAAGGUUUUGUUCCAAGGAAACCUCAGAGUGUUUUGCUUCUCUUCCUUCUUUCUCCAGUAAAUCUCCCAGUGUAAACUCCCAGUCUCACUCCCCUACUGAAACUUCAGUAUUUAUAGACUAAUUUCGUGGGUAAU